ACUCCUACGGGAGGCAGCAGUGGGGAAUAUUGGACAAUGGGGGGAACCCUGAUCCMKCCAUGCCGCGUGUGUGAAGAAGGCCUUAUGGUUGUAAAGCACUUUAAGCGAGGAGGAGGCUACUGAGACUAAUACUCUUGGAUAGUGGACGUUACUCGCAGAAUAAGCACCGGCUAACUCUGUGCCAGCAGCCGCGGUAAU
rnacentral:rRNA from 1 species